UACAGAGACUGCAAGCGUUAUUCGGAUUCACUGGGCGUAAAGGGUGCGCAGGCGGUUUGGUGUGUCAGAUGUGAAAUCCCGAGGCUUAACCUCGGAACUGCGUCUGAAACUACUCGACUAGAGUACUGGAGAGGGUAACGGAAUUCACGGUGUAGCAGUGAAAUGCGUAGAUAUCGUGAGGAACACCAGAGGCGAAGGCGGUUACCUGGACAGUUACUGACGCUCAGGCACGAAAGCAUGGGGAGCAAAAGGG
rnacentral:rRNA from 1 species